rnacentral:rRNA from 1 species
UACAGAGGUCUCAAGCGUUGUUCGGAUUCAUUGGGCGUAAAGGGUGCGUAGGUGGCGCCAUAAGUCGGGUGUGAAAUCUCGGGGCUUAACUCCGAAACUGCAUUCGAUACUGCCGUGCUUGAGGACUGGAGAGGAGACUGGAAUUUACGGUGUAGCGGUGAAAUGCGUAGAUAUCGUAAGGAAGACCAGUGGCGAAGGCGGGUCUCUGGACAGUUCCUGACGCUGAGGCACGAAGGUCAGGGGAGCAAACGGG